rnacentral:rRNA from 1 species
UAACCAGACUCCUACGGGAGGCAGCAGUGGGGAAUAUUGCACAAUGGGGGAAACCCUGAUGCAGCGACGCCGCGUGGGUGACGAAGUCUUUCGGUAUGUAAAGCCCUAUCAGCAGGGAAGAAGAUGACAGUACCUGACUAAGAAGCCCCGGCUAACUACGUGCCAGCAGCCGCGGUAAUACGUGGGGGGCAAGCGUUAUCCGGAUUUACUGGGUGUAAAGGGCGCGUAGGUGGGCGCUUAAGUCAGGUGUGAAAACUCCGGGCUCAACCUGGAGACUGCACUUGAAACUGGGUGUCUUGAGGGCAGGAGAGGAAAGUGGAAUUCCUAGUGUAGCGGUGAAAUGCGUAGAUAUUAGGAGGAACACCAGUGGCGAAGGCGACUUUCUGGACUGUACCUGACGCUGAGGCGCGAAAGCGUGGGUAGCGAACGGGAUUAGAUACCCGCGUA